GGAUGAACCCUUGGAGAGACUCUUAGAGGCAGAAUAAGAAAUAACAAAUCAGUAUGUUUUCAUAUUGAGCCCAUUAUUUUUUAUGUGCUAAAAUAGAGCACCGAAGGAGAAAGCUUAAAAGGCGAAACUCUCAGGUAAAAGGACAGGGGAAAGAUA
rnacentral:ncRNA from 2 species